AUAGAAUGAAAUAUUUGUCAGAAUAAUUAAUAGAUGGCAGGCAGCCUAAUUAAAGUCUAAUUAGGCAUUAACGAAUAGCACAGCUCUUAAAAUUCCCUCACAAGACAAAUUAAUCAUGGCAAGAUAGUUUCCUUGCUAUUAAUUAAUACGACUUUGACAAAUUUGAGAGAGUGUCUGUAAUCUGCAUUAGUUGGUAAGCGGCGUCUUGACGACGAGUACCACAAUAUGGAAACAAGGCAAGUGCUUUCGCUUUUGUAAAUUGCCUUGCCAUUACUAAUCUUAUCGUUCAUUUUUAAACAAGAGAGAAUCUAGAUGAGUAUCCUUGACAAUUUAGCCUUUAUUUAUUUCGCUCCGACCAUGUUGGACCCGGUGGUUUCAGUCAUGUAUCCUCCGGGCCUUCCACAAACAGUGAGCAAUGUCCGAGCUCAAUUCAUCUUCAAGGGGAAGAAGAAGGGGUUGUUUUCCUUGGAUUUUGUUUGUGCCCUUCUUCAUCGCUAUGAAGAUUAGAUUUGCUGGACCUGCUGCACUAGCAAUCUUGCGUAAGAUCCCACGAUCGGUUUGAGAUUCCCACUCUCCAGCAGCCAGUUGAAAGCGGUGUGAUCAUUCUUGACAUUUAGUCCAUUGCCCACGUAUAAUAAAGGAGUAUACGAUACCUAAUCAAGCUGUGAAGUGGUUGAAUUUUCUGGCAAUUGGGUCAUGUACAAAGUUCUUGAGAAGUGUGGAAUAAAU
rnacentral:lncRNA from 1 species